UCGGGAAUUUUGGGCAAUGGGCGAAAGCCUGACCCAGCAACGCCGCGUGAGGGAUGAAGGCCUUCGGGUCGUAAACCUCUGUCGGGAGGGGCGAAAGGCGCGCGGGUGAACAAUCCGCGUACUUGACGGUACCUCCAAAGGAAGCGCCGGCUAACUCCGUGCCAGCAGCCGCGGUAAUACGGAGGGCGCAAGCGUUGUUCGGAAUUACUGGGCGUAAAGCGCGUGUAGGCGGCCAGGUAAGUCGGAUGUGAAAUCCCGGGGCCCAACCCCGGAACUGCACCCGAUACUGCCCGGCUGGAGUCCCGGAGAGGAUGGCGGAAUUUCCGGUGUAGAGGUGAAAUUCGUAGAUAUCGGAAGGACACCAGUGGCGAAGCGGCCAUCUGGACGGUGACUGACGCUGAGACGCGAAAGCGUGGGGAGCGAAACAGGAUUAGAUACCCUGGUAGUCCACGCCGUAAACGUUGGGUGCUAGACGUACGGGGGUAUUGACCCCUCCGGUGUCGAAGCUAACGCAUUAAGCACCCCGCU
rnacentral:rRNA from 1 species